AGCGAACGCUGGCGGCAGGCUUAACACAUGCAAGUCGAGCGGGCGUAGCAAUACGUCAGCGGCAGACGGGUGAGUAACGCGUGGGAACGUACCUUUUGGUUCGGAACAACACAGGGAAACUUGUGCUAAUACCGGAUAAGCCCUUACGGGGAAAGAUUUAUCGCCGAAAGAUCGGCCCGCGUCUGAUUAGCUAGUUGGUGAGGUAACGGCUCACCAAGGCGACGAUCAGUAGCUGGUCUGAGAGGAUGAUCAGCCACAUUGGGACUGAGACACGGCCCAAACUCCUACGGGAGGCAGCAGUGGGGAAUAUUGGACAAUGGGGGCAACCCUGAUCCAGCCAUGCCGCGUGAGUGAUGAAGGCCCUAGAGUUGUAAAGCUCUUUUGUGCGGGAAGAUAAUGACGGUACCCAAGAAUAAGCCCCGGCUAACUUCGUG
rnacentral:rRNA from 1 species